rnacentral:lncRNA from 1 species
AAUAGUCAAUCGCAUCUGUCAAGACAGGAGAAGUCGACGACGACCACAGCGCGACGAAGACCUUAAUAUGGACUUGUUGAGACGACUUCGGCGACGACCAAAUAGACUUGAGACGACUUCGGUGACGACCUGCAAGACUUGAGACGACUAGAGACGGCGGUAUUCAUAUUAUUAUAGCAUCGCGACCAGGUGAAGUGGUGACGGCCAUUACCUAUAUCAUAAUGUGUACACGCGUAAUGCGUGUCACGAGACUCACGGAUUUACGUCUGGAGAAUUCGAAUCAACGGAUUAUGGCCUCAAUGUACACACACGGACAGACGUGGCGUACUGCAUAAUAUAUUAUAUUAUUCCAACGCAAUAUAAUAUAACCGUAUAAUGGCGUGUGGCUGCAACGCUGCAGCGCGGAGGUGAAGAGGAAAUGAAAAACAAUAAUAAAGAUGUGCCGGAGAUCCAAGUACAAGCUGUUGUCGGUCCGUCCGUCCUCGUCCGAGCACCGAUGCAGAGCUGCAAAUGUCGACGAAUAAUGCGUGGCACCCUGUACGUAUACUAAAUGUAUCCUGAGUGCAUUAUAAAACUGUCCGGUAUACCUUCAGUAUACGUAACAGGGUGCCAUACCGAUCUUCCGGAAGUGGUCCCGUGGCGCGGCCUGCAGCGUCCCUGCGACGACGUCCUUUUCGCGUACAAUUUUAAUAUUAUAAUAAUACAUUGGUAUAACAUACAUAUUAUCGUCGUCAUUGGUCGGGCGUUACCGCGAAUACAUGUAAAAUAUUUAGGUUGUUAUACAAGAAAAAAAAUUAAUGCACUGCGCUUGUGCAUCUAUCACAUUGAUAGGUAUAUUAUAUUUUAUUACAAUUCGUUAUUAUCAUAUAAUAUAACAUCGCAAGAAGUAUACCUACACGUAUUAUAUAAUAUAUUAUAUAGGUACAUUAUGAUUUUUAUAAAAUAAAUUAUUUGUAAUAUUGUUUUACUUGGCAAGCCUACUCGAUUUAUUUGUUAUUUUUUUUUUUUAUUUUAACAUUAUCACAAUAUAUUUGUUUGGGUUAAUAUAUAAUUUUCACUUUUUAAAAAGAAAAACAAUUUAUAUCUCUCGUACUGUUAUCGGUCGCGAGAUUGUAAUCGGAAAUUAAAAAUAAUAUACAUACCUUUAACAUACGUACGUACGUACAUUUAUAUAUUAUAUUACAUUAUUAGGUAUAUAUUAUGCAUUAUACGCUCGCGAAACCCGUUUGCCCCGAUGGGAAAUUGCACGACAGUAAACAGUAAUGUUUACGACGUUUAAACGAUACGAGAAACGUGUAGGUUUAUUAUUAUUAUCAUUAUUAUUGGUAUAUAUAGUAGCAGUUGUUGUAUAUUAUAAUUGACAGCGAAGAGUAGGCUUGCGCGAUGUGCUCUCAUAUUAUACAGAUUUCCAUAAACGGCGCGUUACAAUAAUUACAUAUUAUAUUGCGUAAAGUGCAUAAUAUAUUAUAAUAAUAAUAUAUGUGAUGCGUCGUGCCUAACGAAUUUUUAAAAAACGUUUUGUUAUUUUUUUUUUGUGUUCGUUCGAUCAUAUUAUACGAGCGUCGGGCUUACAAUAAAAUAAUUGUACAUUAAAAAAAAAAAAAAA